rnacentral:rRNA from 1 species
GACGUAGGGCGCGAGCGUUGUCCGGAUUUAUUGGGCGUAAAGAGCUCGUAGGCGGCUUGUUGCGUCGACCGUGAAAACCCGCGGCUUAACUGCGGGCUUGCGGUCGAUACGGGCGGGCUGGAGUUCGGUAGGGGAGACUGGAAUUCCUGGUGUAGCGGUGAAAUGCGCAGAUAUCAGGAGGAACACCGGUGGCGAAGGCGGGUCUCUGGGCCGAUACUGACGCUGAGGAGCGAAAAGCGUGGGGAGCGAACAGG